rnacentral:rRNA from 1 species
GACGAACGCUGGCGGCGUGCCUAAUACAUGCAAGUCGAACGCUGAAGGAGGAGCUUGCUUCUCUGGAUGAGUUGCGAACGGGUGAGUAACGCGUAGGUAACCUGCCUGGUAGCGGGGGAUAACUAUUGGAAACGAUAGCUAAUACCGCAUAAGAGUAGAUGUUGCAUGACAUUUGCUUAAAAGGUGCAAUUGCAUCACUACCAGAUGGACCUGCGUUGUAUUAGCUAGUUGGUGGGGUAACGGCUCACCAAGGCGACGAUACAUAGCCGACCUGAGAGGGUGAUCGGCCACACUGGGACUGAGACACGGCCCAGACUCCUACGGGAGGCAGCAGUAGGGAAUCUUCGGCAAUGGACGGAAGUCUGACUGAGCAACGCCGCGUGAGUGAAGAAGGGUUUCGGAUCGUAAAGCUCUGUUGUAAGAGAAGAACGAGUGUGAGAGUGGAAAGUUCACACUGUGACGGUAUCUUACCAGAAAGGGACGGCUAACUACGUG